UGGAUCCUGAGUACGACGGAGCACGUGAAAUUCCGUCGGAAUCUGGGAGGACCAUCUCCUAAGGCUAAAUACUCUCUAGUGACCGAUAGUGAACCAGUACCGUGAGGGAAAGGUGAAAAGCACCCCGGAAGGGGAGUGAAAUAGAACCUGAAACCGUGUGCUUACAAGUAGUCAGAGCCCGUUAAUGGGUGAUGGCGUGCCUUUUGUAGAAUGAACCGGCGAGUUACGAUUUGAUGCAAGGUUAAGCAGUAAAUGUGGAGCCGUAGCGAAAGCGAGUCUGAAUAGGGCGUUUAGUAUUUGGUCGUAGACCCGAAACCAGGUGAUCUACCCUUGGUCAGGUUGAAGUUCAGGUAACACUGAAUGGAGGACCGAACCGACUUACGUUGAAAAGUGAGCGGAUGAACUGAGGGUAGCGGAGAAAUUCCAAUCGAACCUGGAGAUAGCUGGUUCUCUCCGAAAUAGCUUUAGGGCUAGCCUCAAGUGAUGAUUAUUGGAGGUAGAGCACUGUUUGGACGAGGGGCCCCUCUCGGGUUACCGAAUUCAGACAAACUCCGAAUGCCAAUUAAUUUAACUUGGGAGUCAGAACAUGGGUGAUAAGGUCCGUGUUCGAAAGGGAAACAGCCCAGACCACCAGCUAAGGUCCCAAAAUAUAUGUUAAGUGGAAAAGGAUGUGGCGUUGCCCAGACAACUAGGAUGUUGGCUUAGAAGCAGCCAUCAUUUAAAGAGUGCGUAAUAGCUCACUAGUCGAGUGACACUGCGCCGAAAAUGUACCGGGGCUAAACAUAUUACCGAAGCUGUGGAUUGUCCUUUGGACAAUGGUAGGAGAGCGUUCUAAGGGCGUUGAAGCAUGAUCGUAAGGACAUG
rnacentral:rRNA from 1 species